AUCACGAACACGAGGUCGCGGCCAUUUUAAACAUGCGAAUGCACAGCGGUGUUCAACGCUUAAUUCAUGGAACUGAAAUCGGACACAGUUUUGCGCAAACACCGCUGAAGCCGCCGACCUCCCUUCUUGUUCGGUGAAAGUGCACGAACGGCCCGGUGUUCGGUAGUUUUGUUUGAGUGUGUUGUACCCCAGAUAGGAAUCCCAUGGAGCCCAUUCGCAUGAAACUGACUGUGUAAAGACUUUG